UUUAAUCUCCUUUACUUCUUUUACUUCUUCGCUUAUACUAAUCAUGUCUUCUCCUUCAUCUUCUCAGAGCAAUUUUCCAGAAAAGACCGUUAUUGUUAAUGCCUUUCCUCCUCAUAUAGGUGCUGAAAAACCUAAAAAUAGAAUGCUUCCCAAGAAAUUGAUGGGCGAUGCUAUUGCUGCUGCCUCUACUGGGUCUUCUUCUUUAUCUGCUAGUACUGGUGUUGUUGAAGUUGGAAAGAUAAAUCCUCCUCCUGUGGAUGGCGUACUCCCUAAACAUCCUUCUCAUACUACUGACUUGAAGAUAAAUGAAUAUGAAUCUGACAUGGAUAGAAUGGCGAUGAUGUCAUGGAUUAAAUCCCACAUUACCGAAGAUCUUGUCCCUUCCGUGAUUUAAAGGUGUCAUUGGGCGGAUCACUAUGUGGAGAUUCAUGAUCCUGAAUCGGAAAUGUCCGCUACUUCUCAUUUACUCGGGUUUUCCGCAGUGUAUCUUUACCCCUUUACUAUUGGAUUUAAUUUACCGUUAACUUCGUUGAUUGAUUAAUUAUGCCGCCGUCUCCAAGUUUGUGUUGUGCAACUUACACCCGAAGUCUGGCAUUUAAUUCAAUUAUAUUAAUACGUUGCUUGUCUUGGCAAUGUACAGCUUACCUUGGAUCAUAUUUUAUAUUUGAACUCCCUUCGUUUUGUAAGGGGUUCUAUGAUAAUGUUUAGGGCCAGGGGUCAGAAUAACUUGUUCGAGGGCCCUGAAGAUAGCCACGACCGUCAAUGGCUCAAUGAUUUUGUGUUUAUUCCUACUCACCAAUUAGUGAGUAGUGACGCCAGGUCUUUCUCGGAGAAGUGGAAUGCGAGAGCUUUUAAUGCCGAGUUAAAUACUCCGAGGAAUAUUCGCGAAUUUACAGAAACAAUGAUCCGAUUCUCGGCGAGGGCUAGAACUUGGGAAUCAAUGGCGGUGCAACGGGGCAUUUGAACUUUGGAUGAUUCUGGAAAAAUUAAAGGUCGUUCCGGUAAAAAGAGAUCAUCGUCAAGAGCCUUGAUUCUCCCAAAUGAUGAUGACUCGGCAUUGGAUAAUAUCCGUCCCUUUGUUAGAAAAAGGUCGAGUGCGGAGGCUGAAGGUUUAGAGGAUGUUGGUAAACCUGUUCUUAAGAAGAGAAGAUUGAAGAAGCAAUCUUCUUCUGGACCUUCUGUGAUUGGGAAGGCUGAAGAGGCAUCCUCGACGAAGGAUCCUGAAGAUCUACCUAGCAUCCCCGAAAUGCCUUCUCGGUAACAAGAUUUAUUGGCUACUCUUCCUGAGGUGAUGAUCAUUGAUGAUGUUUCUGAAGUACCUCUCCAAGACACAUUUAUUGAUACUAAUACAACCGAGGCCAAUAUUAUCGGUAUGGAACCUGUCACUGUUUCCAAAGUUGAUACCUCUCGGGAUGAGGUUGACGGUUCUCCUAAAGCUGAUACCCUUCCAUGCGAUAUUGCAACUUCAUCAGGUCAACCUUCUGAUUAUGCCGAAGGAAAAAGACCUGUUCAUGAUGAUUCACAUGAAACUGAUACUAGUGAUGAAGCUCUCCGGGCUGAUGAUCCUGCAAUUAAGUAGAUGCAAUCUUUUGUUCCUCUUACUGUUAAUCAUACCCGAUCUUUCAGUUUAUCUGAUGAGGCAAAUUUAUUGGCUAAUCCUCAUGUGAUGAGUACUUUUGCCAAUAACUUCAUAGGGCCAAAAGAACACGUCGUUCUAAAGGACAUACCCUCAUACUAGAUGAACAUGAUUGCUUUAGGGCUUAUGAUCCAGGUAUGUUUCUUUUCAAUCUCUUCUCUAAUUUUUUCUCCAUCACAUUUUCCUUACUUGUUAUAAUUUUUUGAUGAUUUUCUGGAGCGUUCUGAGGGUGAAUCAAAGCUCAUUGAUAAACUCAAUGAAGACAAUGUCGCUCUAACUCAGGAGUUGUCAGAUUUGAAGGCGAAGCACUCUAGCUUUGUUACGGAAUUGAGUGAGGACAAGGUGAAAGCUGAUGAAUAUAAAGCAGAGUUAGAACGUCUUUGAGGCCAGGUAUCUGACUUUCCUAAACUGAAAGAGGAGAUCUCCGAAAAGGAUACAGCUAUUGGUAAUUUAAGGGUGAAACUCAUACAGAUGGAAGCCAAAUUUGAAAAAGAAAAUGAGGAAAUCCAGAAUCUCCGAGAUAGAUUCUCUUCUCGGAAUACCGAAUUCACUGAGCUUGAUGCAAAAUUUCAGUCCUUACAAGUUAAGAGCA